UGGGAUAUCGCCAAGCGGUAAGGCGUUAGAUUCUGAAUCUAACAUGCGGUGGUUCGAAUCCAUCUAUCCCAGCCA
rnacentral:tRNA from 1 species